UUUGUUUAAAUAUACUUUUUUCACUUUUUUGGUCUUUUGGAAAAUGUUGUUUGUGCUGUUUUUAGACCCUUCUACAACGAAAUUUGUUUUACAUGCACACGUAUAAAAAUUGCGGUUUUUAUCCAACGCAAUCAUAGGUUUGAACGUAGUUUUCAAUUUAGACUCGUAUAUAUAUAUAUUGAUGACAUGUUAGAUAUACUGUUCCCGGUCUAAAAAAAAUGACAGGUUGUUUUUCUAUGUUUUAGGCAAAAUCUAAAGAGAAUAGAAACUGUAAACUAAAAAAUUAUUAGCAAUACAAGAUAAAUAAAAAUAGAUUUUUUGGUGAGUUAUGUUCUUGUCUACAAUAUUGAAGAGUAUUGUUGAAGAUGCUUAUAAUCCUAGGUGAGGGACACAUGCUAUUUAGAGCCUCUAGUUAGGGCCCCGCCGGGUGGCAGGAUGUCCUUAGUGUUCAGUCUGUUGGUAUGUAACAAAUUGUGUCCGCUCUAUAUCUAAAGAACUCUUAUGAGUUCAUACAUUAUACUUGACUUGUAUAUUAACCAGCACCAGUGGGUGUGUCAUAAUGAUUGUACAACUUCCUAGGUCAAAGGUCAAAGUUAAAAACAUUAUUUUUAAUUGACAACCCUAUGUCCUAUGGUAAAGAAAGUGUCUGCUCUAUAUCUUGGGAUCUGGUAUGAUUUUGAAGUUACUACUUGACAUGUAUAUUAACCAACACCAUAGGGUGUGUCAUACUGUAUGUUCAGUGUAACCUGCCUAAUCCGACACCUGAAUAUUCCAACAUCCUGCUUUAACCGAUACAUUUUCAUGGUCCCAAACUAUGUAUAUCCUUGCAGAAAAAAAACC
rnacentral:lncRNA from 1 species